rnacentral:lncRNA from 10 species
CUAUGAGUUUAUGUCCUCAGCUUUGAAUGGUAGGACCGUAUCUGCUAUUCAGUUUUUGAAAUACAGCUGUGCCAUGUGCACUGAACCUUCACACUGGGACUCAGCUGCCAUGCUUCACCUUGGGUAUAAUGAUGACAGAGGUUGAGAAAGGUGACUCCCUCCAUUGAUGUAUUUCGCCAUGAUUACCUCCCACCAAAUGAUACUAAUACUCCUGAAAAUACUUAACAUUUAUAAAAUGUUUAUUUUCUGAUUCAUGCCAAA